GACGAACGCUGGCGGCGUGCUUAACACAUGCAAAUCGAACGGAAAGGCCUGCUUUCCCUUGUGGAUUGCGGGUACUCGAGUGGCGAACGGGUGAGUAACACGUGAGUGAUCUGCCCCCAACUUGGGUAUAAGCCUGGGAAACUGGGUCUAAUUCCCGAUAGGACUGCAGGGUGGUGCCUGUGGUGGAAAACGAUUUUCCAGUGGUUGGGGAUGAGCUCGCGGCCUAUCAGCUUGUUGGUGGGGUAAUGGCCUACCAAGGCGGCGACGGGUAGCCGGCCUGAGAGGGUGGACGGCCACAUUGGGACUGAGAUACGGCCCAGACUCCUACGGGAGGCAGCAGUGGGGAAUAUUGCACAAUGGGCGGAAGCCUGAUGCAGCGACGCCGCGUGGGGGAUGACGGCCUUCGGGUUGUAAACUCCUUUCGACCGCGAGGAAGCCACCUGGUUGGAAGGGUGGUGACGGUAGUGGUAGAAGAAGCACCGGCUAACUACGUG
rnacentral:rRNA from 1 species